AGAUAAUAGAUACCCAGGUAGUCCACGCCCUAAACGAUGGAUACUCGACAUACGCGAUACACAGUGUGUGUCUGAGCGAAAGCAUUAAGUAUCCCACCUGGGAAGUACGACCGCAAGGUUGAAACUCAAAGGAAUUGGCGGGGGUCGGCACAAGCGGUGGAGCAUGUGGUUUAAUUACGAUGAUACGCGAGGAACCUUACCUGGGCGUAGAAUGCCAGUUGACCGUGGGUGAAAGCUCAUUUGUAGCAAUACACAGCUGGUAAGGUGCUGCAUGGCUGUCGUCAGCUCGUGCCGUGAGGUGUUGGGUUUAAGUCCCGCAACGAGCGCAACCCCUAUCACUAGUUGCCAUCAGGUAAAGCUGGGAACUCUAGUGAAACUGCCGUCGUAAGACGCGA
rnacentral:rRNA from 1 species